UUAUGAACUACCGAGCCAUCAAUAAGCACAGUAUAAUUAGCAGAAUCUCAAACAAAAAAGAAUAGACUCUCCUAAAGUCAAUCUAGCCCUUCCAAUAAAUUUGGAAUAUCCGUUAGUCAUGACAGUAGGACAAAGAAGUGAAUAGGUGCCCUGACAGAGUAAGCUAUGGUCUCAAUCCUAAUUUGUAUUUUUGUUUCAGAUUCCCUUCAAGAAGACAUCGUUAUCCAAAAAAAAAAAAGAUUUCCAUUAGGUCUUUACUAAUAGCCUGGUUUUAUUUAAGAGAAUACAGCAUUUCAGAGAAGGCUACUGGGGGAACCUUGCUAAGAACUAAGUAAGUGACACAUUUGUGGUGUUGGACCGGAGACUGGUUUUUAG
rnacentral:lncRNA from 1 species